rnacentral:tRNA from 1 species
GAGGUUAUAGCUCAAGUGGUAGAGCGCAUGUUUGGCAUGAAUGAGGUCCUGGGUUCAAUCCCCAGUACCUCCU